rnacentral:rRNA from 1 species
UACGAAGGGGGAGCUAGCGUUGCUCGGAAUCACUGGGCGUAAAGAGCGUGUAGGCGGCCAGACAGGUCCGUUGUGAAAACUCGAGCUCAACCUCGAGACGCCGAUGGAAACCGUCAGGCUAGAGUCCGGAAGAGGAGAGUGGAAUUCCUGGUGUAGCGGUGAAAUGCGCAGAUAUCAGGAAGAACACCCGUGGCGAAGGCGGCUCUCUGGGACGUGACUGACGCUGAGACGCGAAAGCGUGGGGAGCGAACAGG